AGCGUACACGGUGGAUGCCCUGGCAGUCAGAGGCGAUGAAGGACGUGCUAAUCUGCGAUAAGCGUCGGUAAGGUGAUAUGAACCGUUAUAACCGGCGAUUUCCGAAUGGGGAAACCCAGUGUGAUUCGUCACACUAUCAUUAACUGAAUCCAUAGGUUAAUGAGGCGAACCGGGGGAACUGAAACAUCUAAGUACCCCGAGGAAAAGAAAUCAACCGAGAUUCCCCCAGUAGCGGCGAGCGAACGGGGAGCAGCCCAGAGCCUGAAUCAGUGUGUGUGUUAGUGGAAGCGUCUGGAAAGGCGCGCGAUACAGGGUGACAGCCCCGUACACAAAAAUGCACAUACUGUGAGCUCGAUGAGUAGGGCGGGACACGUGGUAUCCUGUCUGAAUAUGGGGGGACCAUCCUCCAAGGCUAAAUACUCCUGACUGACCGAUAGUGAACCAGUACCGUGAGGGAAAGGCGAAAAGAACCCCGGCGAGGGGAGUGAAAAAGAACCUGAAACCGUGUACGUACAAGCAGUGGGAGCACGCUUAGGCGUGUGACUGCGUACCUUUUGUAUAAUGGGUCAGCGACUUAUAUUCUGUAGCAAGGUUAACCGAAUAGGGGAGCCGAAGGGAAACCGAGUCUUAACUGGGCGUUAAGUUGCAGGGUAUAGACCCGAAACCCGGUGAUCUAGCCAUGGGCAGGUUGAAGGUUGGGUAACACUAACUGGAGGACCGAACCGACUAAUGUUGAAAAAUUAGCGGAUGACUUGUGGCUGGGGGUGAAAGGCCAAUCAAACCGGGAGAUAGCUGGUUCUCCCCGAAAGCUAUUUAGGUAGCGCCUCGUGAAUUCAUCUCCGGGGGUAGAGCACUGUUUCGGCAAGGGGGUCAUCCCGACUUACCAACCCGAUGCAAACUGCGAAUACCGGAGAAUGUUAUCACGGGAGACACACGGCGGGUGCUAACGUCCGUCGUGAAGAGGGAAACAACCCAGACCGCCAGCUAAGGUCCCAAAGUCAUGGUUAAGUGGGAAACGAUGUGGGAAGGCCCAGACAGCCAGGAUGUUGGCUUAGAAGCAGCCAUCAUUUAAAGAAAGCGUAAUAGCUCACUGGUCGAGUCGGCCUGCGCGGAAGAUGUAACGGGGCUAAACCAUGCACCGAAGCUGCGGCAGCGACGCUGAUGCGUUGUUGGGUAGGGGAGCGUUCUGUAAGCCUGUGAAGGUGUACUGUGAGGUAUGCUGGAGGUAUCAGAAGUGCGAAUGCUGACAUAAGUAACGAUAAAGCGGGUGAAAAGCCCGCUCGCCGGAAGACCAAGGGUUCCUGUCCAACGUUAAUCGGGGCAGGGUGAGUCGACCCCUAAGGCGAGGCCGAAAGGCGUAGUCGAUGGGAAACAGGUUAAUAUUCCUGUACUUGGUGUUACUGCGAAGGGGGGACGGAGAAGGCUAUGUUGGCCGGGCGACGGUUGUCCCGGUUUAAGCGUGUAGGCUGGUUUUCCAGGCAAAUCCGGAAAAUCAAGGCUGAGGCGUGAUGACGAGGCACUACGGUGCUGAAGCAACAAAUGCCCUGCUUCCAGGAAAAGCCUCUAAGCAUCAGGUAACAUCAAAUCGUACCCCAAACCGACACAGGUGGUCAGGUAGAGAAUACCAAGGCGCUUGAGAGAACUCGGGUGAAGGAACUAGGCAAAAUGGUGCCGUAACUUCGGGAGAAGGCACGCUGAUAUGUAGGUGAAGUCCCUUGCGGAUGGAGCUGAAAUCAGUCGAAGAUACCAGCUGGCUGCAACUGUUUAUUAAAAACACAGCACUGUGCAAACACGAAAGUGGACGUAUACGGUGUGACGCCUGCCCGGUGCCGGAAGGUUAAUUGAUGGGGUUAGCGCAAGCGAAGCUCUUGAUCGAAGCCCCGGUAAACGGCGGCCGUAACUAUAACGGUCCUAAGGUAGCGAAAUUCCUUGUCGGGUAAGUUCCGACCUGCACGAAUGGCGUAAUGAUGGCCAGGCUGUCUCCACCCGAGACUCAGUGAAAUUGAACUCGCUGUGAAGAUGCAGUGUACCCGCGGCAAGACGGAAAGACCCCGUGAACCUUUACUAUAGCUUGACACUGAACAUUGAGCCUUGAUGUGUAGGAUAGGUGGGAGGCUUUGAAGUGUGGACGCCAGUCUGCAUGGAGCCGACCUUGAAAUACCACCCUUUAAUGUUUGAUGUUCUAACGUUGACCCGUGAUCCGGGUUGCGGACAGUGUCUGGUGGGUAGUUUGACUGGGGCGGUCUCCUCCUAAAGAGUAACGGAGGAGCACGAAGGUUGGCUAAUCCUGGUCGGACAUCAGGAGGUUAGUGCAAUGGCAUAAGCCAGCUUGACUGCGAGCGUGACGGCGCGAGCAGGUGCGAAAGCAGGUCAUAGUGAUCCGGUGGUUCUGAAUGGAAGGGCCAUCGCUCAACGGAUAAAAGGUACUCCGGGGAUAACAGGCUGAUACCGCCCAAGAGUUCAUAUCGACGGCGGUGUUUGGCACCUCGAUGUCGGCUCAUCACAUCCUGGGGCUGAAGUAGGUCCCAAGGGUAUGGCUGUUCGCCAUUUAAAGUGGUACGCGAGCUGGGUUUAGAACGUCGUGAGACAGUUCGGUCCCUAUCUGCCGUGGGCGCUGGAGAACUGAGGGGGGCUGCUCCUAGUACGAGAGGACCGGAGUGGACGCAUCACUGGUGUUCGGGUUGUCAUGCCAAUGGCACUGCCCGGUAGCUAAAUGCGGAAGAGAUAAGUGCUGAAAGCAUCUAAGCACGAAACUUGCCCCGAGAUGAGUUCUCCCUGACUCCUUGA
rnacentral:rRNA from 1 species